CCUACGGGAGGCAGCAGUAGGGAAUAUUGCUCAAUGGGGGAAACCCUGAAGCAGCAACGCCGCGUGGAGGAUGAAGGUUUUCGGAUUGUAAACUCCUUUUGUUAGAGAAGAUAAUGACGGUAUCUAACGAAUAAGCACCGGCUAACUCCGUGCCAGCAGCCGCGGGACUACGGAGGGUGCAAGCGUUACUCGGAAUCACUGGGCGUAAAGAGCGCGUAGGCGGGAUAGCAAGUCAGAUGUGAAAUCCUAUGGCUUAACCAUAGAACUGCAUUUGAAACUGGUAUUCUAGAGUAUGGGAGAGGUAGGUGGAAUUCGUGGUGUAGGGGUAAAAUGCGUAGAGAUCAAGAGGAAUACUGAUUGCGAAGGCGACCUGCUAGAACAUAACUGACGCUGAUGCGCGAAAGCGUGGGGAGCAAACAGGAUUAGAUACCCGAGUAGUC
rnacentral:rRNA from 1 species